rnacentral:rRNA from 1 species
GACGAACGCUGGCGGCGUGCCUAAUACAUGCACGUAGGACGCAGUUGCGAACGAGUGAGUAACGCGUGGGGAAGUACCUAUUGGAGGGGGAUAACUAUGGGAAACGAUAGCUAAUACCGCAUACUAGUAGAUGGACGUGCGUUGUAUUAGGUAGUAGGUAGGGUAAUGGCCUACCUAGGCAACGAUACAGAGCCGAUCCAGCAGGGUGAUCGGCCACACGUGGACUGAGACACCGCCCAGACUUCUACGGGAGGCAGCAUUAGGGAAUCGUCGGCAAUGGGGGGAACCCUGACCGAGCAACGCCGCGUGAGUGAAGAAGGUUUUCUGAUCGUAAAUCUCUGUUGUUAAGGAAGCGUUACUUUACCAGAAAGGGACGGCUAACGACGUGCCAGCAGCCGCGGUAAUAC